rnacentral:rRNA from 1 species
CGGGUGAGUAAUACAUAAGUAACCUGCCCUAGACAGGGGGAUAACUAUUGGAAACGAUAGCUAAGACCGCAUAGGUACGGACACUGCAUGGUGACCGUAUUAAAAGUGCCGCAAAGCACUGGUAGAGGAUGGACUUAUGGCGCAUUAGCUGGUUGGCGGGGUAACGGCCCACCAAGGCGACGAUGCGUAGCCGACCUGAGAGGGUGACCGGCCGCACUGGGACUGAGACACGGCCCAGACUCCUACGGGAGGCAGCAUG